UACUCGGUUCUAGGAAGUUGAUAGUCAUGCCUGGUCGAGAGUGCUUUUAAGAUUUUAACUAUCGAAAGAGCAGUGGAAGAAUGCAAGACGAAAUAUCCCCAUUGAAGCCCGAACAGCUGCAGUCAAAUGAGCAUUUUUGUAGAGUAAAAAAUGAUGGCACUCAGAUCGACAAAAAUGAAACAGAAAAUACUUCCGCAUUCGAUUUAAAUCACAUACUAUUUCAAAUUUCGAUGUUAAAUGUGAUUCCGAUUUAUUUAACGGCGAUAUUUACUGACUGCGAUAUAACAAAAAUGAUAAUUUCGUCGUUGCCACUGCUAUCUUCAAUAUUUGUGUUCAGAGUUUGGGCUUUUAUUUCGGGAAGUACUAUUUCUGGAGCUGCUGUACUUGUGGUGUUUUUUAUGCUGCGAUCGCAAUCUACCUGCUCAUUCAGUUUUACCGGGUUAUCCUGGGAAUGGAAGAUCGUAGCAGCGUAUGCUCUAUGCUCCUUCAUCUUCGGCAUAUUUUUGCAUCUGUACAGAAAAGAUUGCUUCAAAUACAUUCCUUAUAUGUGUUUGUAAUCCCAAAAUAAAUGAAAGUCAAAAUUAA